rnacentral:misc_RNA from 1 species
CAAAAGACACUUCCCAACCCACACAGCGGGAGAGGGAGGUCGGUGUCUCGGUCUUCGUGCCGCAGGGCGCGGUGGGCCGAAGAUGGGGCUGCCGGCGAAUCGUGCCGGGCACAGCACGUGGUGGGCGACACUCAGUUGUUCUCGGUGCAGCGCCCCGGCACGCGGCCGGCGCAUCGGCCCUAAGGACCCAUUGAGCACCGCAGCGCACCGCCGCUCGG